UCGCGGCCUAUCAGCUUGUUGGUGAGGUAACGGCUCACCAAGGCAUCGACGGGUAGCUGGUCUGAGAGGAUGAUCAGCCACACUGGAACUGAGACACGGUCCAGACUCCUACGGGAGGCAGCAGUGGGGAAUAUUGCACAAUGGGCGCAAGCCUGAUGCAGCGAUGCCGCGUGCGGGAUGAAGGCCCUAGGGUUGUAAACCGCUUUCAGCAGGGAAGAAAAUGACGGUACCUGCAGAAGAAGGUGCGGCCAACUACGUGCCAGCAGCCGCGGUGACACGUAGGCACCAAGCGUUGUCCGGAUUUAUUGGGCGUAAAGAGCUCGUAGGCGGUUCGGUAAGUCGGGUGUGAAAACUCUGGGCUCAACCCAGAGACGCCACCCGAUACUGCUGUGACUUGAGUACGGUAGGGGAGUGGGGAAUUCCUGGUGUAGCGGUGAAAUGCGCAGAUAUCAGGAGGAACACCAGUGGCGAAGGCGCCACUCUGGGCCGUAACUGACGCUGAGGAGCGAAAGCAUGGGUAGCAAACAGGAUUAGAUACCCUGGUAGUCCAUGCCGUAAACGUUGGGCACUAGGUGUGGGUCUCAACCAACGAGAUCCGCGCCGUCGCUAACGCAUUAAGUGCCCCGCCUGGGGAGUACGUUCGCAAGACUAAAACUCAAAGGAAUUGACGGGGACCCGCACAAGCAGCGGAGCGUGUUGCUUAAUUCGAUGCAACGCGAAGAACCUUACCUGGGUUUGACAUGUCGGGAAAAGCUCUAGAGAUAGGGUGUCCUUCGGGGCCCGACACAGGUGGUGCAUGGCUGUCGUCAGCUCGUGUCGUGAGGUGUUGGGUUAAGUCCCGCAACGAGCGCAACCCUUAUCCUGUGUUGCCAGCAAGUAAUGUUGGGGACUCGCAGGAGACUGCCGGGGUCAACUCGGAGGAAGGUGGGGAUGACGUCAAGUCAUCAUGCCCCUUAUGCCCAGGGCUGCAAACACGCUACAAUGGCCGGUACAGAGGGCUGCGAUCCCGCGAGGGUGAGCGAAUCCCA
rnacentral:rRNA from 1 species